ensembl:lncRNA
GAGAGGGAGAGGUAAUACGGAGAGGGAGAGGUAAUACGGAGAGGUAAUACGGAGAGGUAAGAGGUAAUAUGGAGAGGGAGAGGUAAUACGGAGAGGUAAGAGGUAAUAUGGAGAGGGAGAGGUAAUACGGAGAGAUAAGAGGUAAUAUGGAGAGGGAGAGGUAAUACGGAGAGGUAAUACGGAGAGGGAGAGGUAAUACGGAGUGGGAGAGGUAAAACGGAGAGGUAAGAGGGAGAGGUAAUACGGAGAGAGGGGUAAUACGGAGAGGUAAUACGGAGAGGUGAGAGGUAAUACGGAGAGGGAGGUCCUUCUCUGCUGCCAAUGACUGGAACGAACUACAAAAAUCUCUGAAACUGGAAACACUUAUCUCCCUCACUAGCUUUAAGCACCAGCUGUCAGAGUAGCUCACAGAUUACUGCACCUGUACAUAGCCCAUCUAUAAUUUAGCCCAAACAACUACCUCUUCCCCUACUGUAUUUAUUUAUUUAGCUCCUUUGCAC